AGUGAACGCUGGCGGUAGACCUAACACAUGCAAGUCGAGCGGCAGCACAGUAAGAGCUUGCUCUUACGGGUGGCGAGUGGCGGACGGGUGAGGAAUACAUCGGAAUCUACUUUUUCGUGGGGGAUAACGUAGGGAAACUUACGCUAAUACCGCAUACGACCUACGGGUGAAUGCAGGGGAUCUUCGGACCUUGCGCGAUUGAAUGAGCCGAUGUCGGAUUAGCUAGUUGGCGGGGUAAAGGCCCACCAAGGCGACGAUCCGUAGCUGGUCUGAGAGGAUGAUCAGCCACACUGGAACUGGGACACGGUCCAGACUCCUACGGGAGGCAGCAGUGGGGAAUAUUCGACAAUGGGCGCAAGCCUGAUCCAGCCAGACCGCGUGGGUGAAGAAGGCCUUCGGGUUGUAAAGCCCUUUUGUUGGGAAAGAAAAGCAGCAGGUUAAUACCCCGCUGUUCUGACGGUACCCAAAGAAUAAGCAACGGCUAACUUCGUG
rnacentral:rRNA from 1 species